ACUGAUUGCUCUUCCAGGGGUCCUGACUCAAUCCCCAGCAUCCACAUGGUGGCUCUCAGCCAUCUGUAAUGGGACCUGAUGCCCUCUUUUGGUGUGUGUACUCAGGUUUAUUUAAAAAAAAACAAAAAAAAAACUUUAAAAAUAAGAUUUUAAAAAGCAGGCCAUGUAAGACAAAAUGGUAUCUUUGUGAAGUGUUGAUUAUUGUUGGGCACUUGAGCCAGUGUCUGAAUUUUAAAGGUCUAAAAUUUUUCUCUCCCUAGGUUGUUGAGACAGCAUGAAUGUACUGAAGCCACUGCUGUAAUACAGGAGAGUUUGAAAGCCAGGACGUCUGGGCUCACACUGCGGCUUUGGUCAGUUGGAGUCUCUUCUCUGUGUAGAAGCGGAGCUGCAGCUGCUUACAGUUCUGAAUUCUCCCGUUUGCGUUGUGCUUCCUACACUUUCCAUAGGUGUGGUGCUGUGGACCAACAGUGAUGCUGUUGCCUGAGACCUGAGAUGCACAACUACAGGCAGGACACAGGGACCUGAUGAAUCAGAUCGUCCAUUUUUACAAGGCUCUGGAAGACCCAUGGGCACAUAGUCGAGGAAACACAGUAUCUGUUUUAAGGUUACAGCACGCUGUGAGGAAAAACUCCUAAUGACGCAAAAGCCGCAGGCAGAAAACCUUAUUUUGUGAUUUAUGCUUAUGAGCAGUCACAGCACAUGUCAAGAGUAUGCUACGGGACACAUUUCUACUGUAGAGAGAAUCUGUUGUGUACUGUAUGGAAGCAUCACCUGCCCAUAAAUAAGUAGCUGAGGCAGGAAGGAAAUAGGUGGAAGUUCUGGUAGGGAAGAGGACUCUGGGAUAAUCGGGUGAGGGGACAGAAUUGCCUCUGACCAUGGAAUAGAAUAAACGUGUUGGUUAAGUUACAAGCGAGUCAGAACAAGCCCAAGCUUAUAAUUCAAUCUCAGGUGUCUUUAUUCUGGAAACAAAGAGGCUCAGAGGAAAGUUGCUUUUCCACCUUUAAGAAUAUCAAACUUAGUUGUAUAGUAAAUGUUUAAACCUGAUUUGUAAAAGGUUCAUGUUGUUGUAGACAUGGCUACUCUUGAACUCAGUAGUGGGGCCCAGCCUGAAUCUGGUUUUUGUUUUUCAAAUACAAACUCACAACGACUAGUAGAAAAUUUCAAUUCAAAAGGUUUUUAAUUUCCUUAAAUAUUCCUUACACGUACUUUUCCACAUUGUGGAAAUAAACUAAGCAGAACAUU
rnacentral:lncRNA from 1 species